rnacentral:rRNA from 1 species
UACGUAGGCAGCGAGCGUUUGUUCGGAAUUACUGGGCGUAAAGAGUGUGUAGGCGGUGCUCUAAGUUCGGUGUGAAAUCUCCCGGCUUAACUGGGAGGGUGCGCCGGAAACUGGAGUGCUCGAGCGUGGGAGAGGAAAGGCGGAAUUCCUGGUGUAGCGGUGAAAUGCGUAGAUAUCAGGAGGAACACCUGCGGUGUAGACGGCUUUCUGGACCAUUGCUGACGCUGAGACACGAAAGCGUGGGUAGCAAACAGG